AUGGGGUGUUCGCAGCCUCCCUUAGUCCGCCAACGUGCUGCAUAUCAGGCCUUUCUCAAGCAUAGGCAUAUUGAGGUGAGGGAGUACUUGCAACGAGUGAAGGCAAACGAUGAUUACAGCCAUCAAGUGAUGGCGGCUAUGUUGGCGUCUUGGACUAACCGCACGGAGCCACCAAAAGUUGGACCCCCACCACCACCAACGGGAGACGCCCCACACAUUCCCACGUUCGAGGAAUGGCUGGCACUAGGCGGUGAUACUUCGGGGACCGGUGGCUCAACUCCUGCUCCGUCGACCCCAGUCACUCUGAUCUGGCAGAGUGAUUGUGGGCGCGGUGGCGGUUUUGGCGGAGGCGGACUUGGCGGUGGCGGUUUUGGCGGAGGUGGACUUGGUGGUGGUGGUGGUUUUGGCGGAGGUGGACUUGGCGGAGGUGGUGGUUUUGGCGGAGGUGGACUCGGUGGUGGUGGUGGUUUUGGCGGAGGUGGACUCGAUGGUGCUUGA
rnacentral:rRNA from 1 species